AUUGAACGCUGGCGGCAGGCCUAACACAUGCAAGUCGAACGAGUGGCGGACGGGUGAGUAAUGUCUGGGAAACUGCCUGAUGGAGGGGGAAAACUACUGGAAAAGGUAGCUAAUACCGCAUACCAUCGGAUGUGCCCAGAUGGGAUUAGCUAGUAGGUGGGGUAAAGGCUCACCUAGGCGACGAUCCCUAGCUGGUCUGAGAGGAUGACCAGCCACACUGGAACUGAGAAACGGUCCAGACUCCUACGGGAGGCAGCAGUGGGGAAUAUUGCACAACGGGCGCAAGCCUGAUGCAGCCAUGCCGCGUGUGUGAAGAAGGCCUUCGGGUUGUAAAGUACUUUCAGCGGGGAGGCGUUACCCGCAGAAGAAGCACCGGCUAACUCCGUGCCAGCAGCCGCGGUAAUUC
rnacentral:rRNA from 1 species